ACCCAAACCGGUGCCUCCCUGGACCCUCAUCCCAGCUCAGUGAGAAAUAAUCCACUCCAGACAGCUGCAGCUGGGGACAGAGGCCCCUCUCCCCCAGACCAAGAACACAGGCCCCUCUCCCCAGACCAAGAACACAGGCCCCUCUCCCCAGACCAAGAACACAGGCCCCUCUCCCCAGACCAAGAACACAGGCCCCUCUCCCCAAGACCAAGAACACAGGCCCCUCUCCCCAAGACCAAGAACACAGGGUCCCUCUCCCCAAGACCAAGAACACACGGCCCUUCUCCCCAAGACCAAGAACACAGGGUCCCUCUCCCCAGACCAAGAACACAGGCCCCUCUCCCCAAGACCAAGAACACACGGCCCUUCUCCCCAAGACCAAGAACACAGGGUCCCUCUCCCCAGACCAAGAACACUGGGCACCUCUUCCUCAGACCAAGAAAACAGAGCCCCUCUCCCCCAGACCAAGAACACAGGCCCCUCUCCCCAAGACCAAGAACACACGGCCCUUCUCCCCAAGACCAAGAACACACGGUCCCUCUCCCCAAGACCAAGAACACAGGGUCCCUCUCCCCAGACCAAGAACACUGGACCUCUCUUCCUCAGACCAAGAACACAGGGCCCCUCUCCCCCAGAACAAGAACUCAGGCCCCUCUCCCCAGACCAAGAACACUGGGCCCGUCUCCUCAGACCAAGAACACAGGCCCCUCUCCCCAAGACCAAGAACACAGGGCCCCUCUCCACACACCAAGAACACAGGGCCCCUCUCCCUCAGACCAAGAAAACAGAGCCCCUCUCCCUCAGAGCAAGAACACAGGGCCCUCACCCUCAGACCAAGAACACAGGCCCCCUCUGCCCCAGACCCAGAACACUGGACCCCUCUUCCUCAGACCAAGAACACUGCGCCCGUCUCCCUCAGACCAAGAACACAGGGCCCCUCUCCCCCAGAACAAGAACUCAGGGCCCCUCUCCCUCCGAACAAGAACACAGGCCCCUCUCCGCAGACCAAGAACACUGGACCCCUCUCCCUCAGACCAAGAAAACAGAGCCUCUCGUCCCCAGACCAAGAACACAGGGCCCUGUCCCCAAGACCAAGAACACUGGGCCCCUCUACCCCAGACCAAGAACACUGUGCCCCUCUCCCUGAGACCAAGAAAAUUGCACCCCUCUCCCUCAGACGAAGAAAACAGAGCCCCUCGCCCCCAGACCAAGAAGACAGGGCCCCUCUCCCCCAGACCAAGAACACUGGGCCCGUCUCCCCAGACCAAGAACACAGGGCCCCUCUCCUCAGACCAAGAACACAGGGCCCCUCUCCUCAGACCAAGAACACAGGCCCCCCUCCCCCAGACCAAGAACACAGGGCCCGUCUCCCCCAGACCACCAGUACAGGGCCCCUCUCCCUCAGCUCCAAGGACAAGAGCUUUCCUCCUGGGAGGAGCACGAUGUCAGCCUUUCUCAUGCUGCCCCAGCUCCCUGUUGCUCAUUCUAAGUCUGGGUGAGUGUGGUCCAGGGGUGGGGGCUCCCUUCUGCCCAGCCCCUGCUCAUGGAACAGAGGCUGUACCUUGUGUGCAGUGUGCUGAGUAUUGUGUGGCCUGA
rnacentral:lncRNA from 1 species